UGGGUGCCAGCGUCAUCAUAGACAUUUCUCUUUGAAAUUUGCUAGGUCACGCUGCUGAGUGUGGAGAUGACCGCCCUGAAGGAAGAAAGGGACAGACUCAGAGUGACAUCUGAGGACAAGGAGCCCAAGGAGCAGCUUCAGAAGGCCAUCAGGGACCGGGACGAGGCCAUUGCAAAGAAGAAGGCUGUGGAGCUGGAACUCGCCAAGUGCAAGAUGGACAUGAUGUCUCUCAACAGCCAGCUACUGGACGCCAUUCAGCAGAAACUGAACCUCUCCCAGCAGCUUGAGGCCUGGCAGUUUGCUUCCUCAGGGCUUUUUACUAUCUGGCUCCUUUGGUUUCUGAUCUAGUGGCUUUCUCAGCUCCUGUGCCGACAGCUUUAGUUGUACACCCCUCCUGCCUUUGAGGAUGACAUGCACAGGGUCAUUGACAGGCAGCUGAUGGACACGCACCUGAAGGAACAGAGCCGGCCUGCUGCUGCCUUCCCUAGGGGCCACGGCGUAGGGCGGGGGCAGGAACCCAGCACAGACGGCAAACGGCUCUUCUCCUUCUUCAGGAAAAUUUAAGUGGGGAGGAGUCUGGCCAUUGAGAUGGGGGGACUAGCAGCACCUGAAAAGGGUCCCCUUUAGCUGGAGCUGGGCAGCUACACUGCCCGCCCACCUGCCCUGGGGCCCAGUUAGCUCCAGAGAGCUCACUCCCUAUGUCAGCGUAAUGGAGGCUGAGAGGUAGGGCCUGCUCUGUCCUCUGAAGGCUGCCCACCCCCCACACACACAAGGGACAGGAAUGUAUCUUGUCCCCACUGCCCAAGCCAAGCCUCAGCCUGGGCUUGCCCAGGAUCCUGUUAGUGAGCAGGGCUCAGCCACUUCCCAUGCAGCCCACUGCUGGGCUCUGCCACCCAGGCCCAGCUGAGCACAGCCCACCCUAUAAAGGCUCUGCUGCCUCCUUGGUUUUGAACAUGGGGAACAGAUUGGGGCCUCCUGUGCAUGCCUCAGGAGGCCUAAGCCUCCGCUCCUGCUCCAGCCACUGGCCUGGAGUGUGGGGAGACACAGCCC
rnacentral:lncRNA from 1 species